AUUGAACGCUGGCGGCAGGCCUAACACAUGCAAGUCGAGCGGCAGCGGGAAAGUAGCUUGCUACUUUUGCCGGCGAGCGGCGGACGGGUGAGUAAUGCCUGGGAAAUUGCCCAGUCGAGGGGGAUAACAGUUGGAAACGACUGCUAAUACCGCAUACGCCCUACGGGGGAAAGCAGGGGACCUUCGGGCCUUGCGCGAUUGGAUAUGCCCAGGUGGGAUUAGCUAGUUGGUGAGGUAAUGGCUCACCAAGGCGGCGAUCCCUAGCUGGUCUGAGAGGAUGAUCAGCCACACUGGAACUGAGACGCGGUCCAGACUCCUACGGGAGGCAGCAGUGGGGAAUAUUGCACAAUGGGGGAAACCCUGAUGCAGCCAUGCCGCGUGUGUGAAGAAGGCCUUCGGGUUGUAAAGCACUUUCAGCGAGGAGGAAAGGUUGAUGCCUAAUACGUAUCAACUGUGACGUUACUCGCAGAAGAAGCACCGGCUAACUCCGUGCCAGCCGCCGCAGUAA
rnacentral:rRNA from 1 species